rnacentral:rRNA from 1 species
AGCGAACGCUGGCGGCAGGCCUAACACAUGCAAGUCGAACGAACCCUUCGGGGUUAGUGGCGGACGGGUGAGUAACACGUGGGAACAUGCCUUUAGGUUCGGAAUAACUCAGGGAAACUUGUGCUAAUACCGAAUGUGCCCUUCGGGGGAAAGAUUUAUCGCCUUUAGAGCGGCCCGCGUCUGAUUAGCUAGUUGGUGCGGUAAAGGCUCACCAAGGCUACGAUCAGUAGCUGGCCUGAGAGGAUGACCAGCCACAUUGGGACUGAGACACGGCCCAAACUCCUACGGGAGGCAGCAGUGGGGAAUCUUGCGCAAUGGGCGAAAGCCUGACGCAGCCAUGCCGCGUGGAUGAUGAAGGUCUUAGGAUUGUAAAAUCCUUUCACCGGUGAAGAUAAUGACUGUAGCCGGAGAAGAAGCCCCGGCUAACUUCGUGCCAGCCGCCGCCGUAAGAC